rnacentral:lncRNA from 1 species
AACUCCUCCAGCGGCGUGGAAUUUUUCCUCGAGAGGAGGCGGCGGCGCAACGAAGACGCGACGGCGGGGGCGGCGCGCGGCGCGCGGCGCGAUCCGGAGGCGACGGCGACGGCACGGCGCUCACCUCCGGCCGCCAUCUUCUCUCCGGUGAGCAGCCUUUCCCCCUCUCCCCUCCUCUUCCAAAGCUAGGGUUAGGGUUUUCUUCUCUUCUCCGGCGAUCACACGCUGCCUUUUCUUGCCCCGCCCCGCCGCCCUUCCCGUGCGGCGCCAUCCGUCGUCCCAUCUCCUCUCCGGCGAGGGCGUGCUGUUCGGCUCUUCUCCUCCGGCUCCUCCGCCGCGCCGGCGUUCCAGGCGAUGCGCGUCGUCCCCGGCCACCACCACCACUUCCCUUGUGCUCGACGCGCUCGCCAUGCUCACCAAGACCAGAGCCAUCGCCGCCGCCACUUCACAGUUCACCGGAGAAAGCCGCUACUAGCUACCUAGUUCUCUGCAUAGAUUUGUUUCUUGGCUCAUACAGGGGAUAUGUGCAUGCUGAAGUCCGGUCAAAUGACCAAAUGCUUCUUCCCUUUUCUUGCAUUGAUCCAAGUGUGACUGCACUUUUGUUCACAAGAAAUCCAAGCGUGCCUGAUCUAAGUUCCUGUUUUUUUCAGUCUCUUUUUGUUUAGUUUGGAUGAUAAUAGCUAUGUUGUACUUGUGAGUUUUUUCAGUCUCUUUUUGUUUAGUUUGGAUGAUAAUAGCUAUGUUGUACUUGUGAGCUUGUAUGGAUCGUCAUACCUAGCCUUCUCGAUAGAAAAUCUCUGGUGAUGAACGAGCCUCUCAAUGGAUUUUUGCUCACCAGAACGACUAGGAAGCUCUGCAUAUUCUGAGGCAGAAGCUAGAAUCUCCAGGAGGCCUUUCAACUUGGUCUUCAGAGUUAGCAUAGAACUGAAUCACUCAAUAGUCGUGUAGGUGACGUUGUAAUACGAGGCAAUGAGACCAAGGUUGAGGGUCUUCAGGUAAAAAUUUUCCUCUAUAGCCAAACAAUUUGUUGAUUCCAAGCCUUCCAGGUCGUUCAGCACUGUCUCAACCAGCUCAGAAAGAUGUUCUGAUACAUGCCUAUGGAUCAUUUUGCAUCUUGCAGAGCUUUUGUUUACAACUCUCUGAACAUUUUUAGUCAUGUUCUGGCAAAUACAUGGAUCAGAGAUUAUUUAUUAAUUACCCAGUGCUGUUUUUAAUUUUUAGAAAAUCACGUGUGUGUGUGUGUGUGUGUGUGUUUUGCAGAAUUGCCUUGGUGCAAUUGAUGAAUAUUUUAGGCUUGCUGUUGACAUGGACUAGUUAUUUUGGUUAAUUUAGCUGUGCAGCUUAUUGUAUCAAAAUGAUUAUUGUUGUUUAUUAAUUGCACAGUAGGACAUACUAGCUAGUAGACUUUUGCAUUACUAGGAGUAUUUGAUUUGUAUGAGUAUCACUUUCUUUGGGUUACUGCUUGUAUUCUCCGGCAUAUUAGAGUUCUUGUGAUGGUUGCAGUUCAGCAUCAUUUUGCCCGGUUCAAUAGUUGGUUGGUUUCAGGAAAUUUGAGACAAUUGCUCACUGCACUGAAGCAUUGCGUAAGUAUUUGCAGUUUACAACUGAAAAUUAAAGGAAACUUCUUUCUUCUCUACAGGCUUUGGGAGGAAGGAAGUCUGAGAGGAUGCUGGUUCAAAUACUGAGUGGCUGAGCAAACAUGUACAUGAUGCUGGUUUUGUAAAGGAGCAAUAAAUGUGGUUCUCUGAACAUUGUAUAUUGCUGAUGUAACCAUUUGGCAUAGGAGAGUACUGGUGUGGCAGCCCAUGUUUAUUUUUUAUAGCUUGAAAGGUCACAUAAAUGCAAAUUCUAAGUAGAAAUGUCAAGUGAAUCAUGCCAUAUUUCACUUUUUUUUUAGGCUUCAUCAAUGUGUAUUUGAUGCAUCAGUAGCAAAUGAUGCAUGACGUUCAUGGGCCCAUGCUUAAUUAUCUCCUGGCUAAUUAUCUCAAGUGAAUCAUGAUAUAGUUUCAUCUUUUUCUUCUUUAUUGUCAAAUUUCACUCCUAUGGCUGUUA